rnacentral:sRNA from 1 species
GGGAAAGUCUGUUGCUUUUUUUCAUCAAGUCUUUUCAAUCAUUUGCCAUUGUUUUUGUGAAUUAAGAAUCAGUCAUAAAUCUAGAAGAACAAUUUGGCCUUUUCUGGUUCACCUAACUGUUAUGAUCUCUGUCCUGUCACGGGCAUGGCACGGCCCGGCUGCUUCCUGUCUCAGCACUGGAGACCCAGGAGGUUAGGGAGGUGCCUGCAGUCGCCCUUCUGUGAGGAUGCCCUGGCUCCACUGCUGUAUGGGAGUUGAAAGUGUGACCGCAGGGUGCUGCCUUUGCCGGGGUCUCAAACUCUGGGUUACCAUAUGCUUUACUUCCUAGAAUGGUGUCCUUGAAGCAAGCCGCCUCUGGGAUAACAUGCGGAAGCUGGGGGAGUGCACAGAAGAGGCGUACCAGAUGACUCAUGACGGCUACUUGAAACUCUGGCAGCUGAGCAAGCCU